UACGUAGGGUGCAAGCGUUGCCCGGAUUUAUUGGGCGUAAAGGGCGCGUAGGCGGCCACGCACGUCCGUUGUGAAAUCGCCCGGCUCAACUGGGCGGGGUCGGCGGAUACGGCGUGGCUGGAGCAAGCUAGGGGGCAAUGGAAUUCCCGGUGUAGUGGUGGAAUGCGUAGAUAUCGGGAGGAACACCAGUGGCGAAGGCGGUUGCCUGGAGCUUUGCUGACGCUGAGGCGCGAAAGCGUGGGGAGCGAUCCGG
rnacentral:rRNA from 1 species